GCGCGCUUAGCUCAGUUGGCUAGAGCAUUCGACUGAUACUCGGAGGGUCCUAGGUUCGAAUCCUAGAGCGCGCA
rnacentral:tRNA from 1 species